rnacentral:rRNA from 1 species
GACGAACGCUGACGGCGUGCCUAAUACAUGCAAGUAGAACGCUGAAGAGGGGAGCUUGCUCUUCUUGGAUGAGUUGCGAACGGGUGAGUAACGCGUAGGUAACCUGCCUUGUAGCGGGGGAUAACUAUUGGAAACGAUAACUAAUACCGCAUAACAAUGGAUGACACAUGUCAUUUAUUUGAAAGGGGCAAUUGCUCCACUACAAGAUGGACCUGCGUUGUAUUAGCUAGUAGGUGAGGUAAUGGCUCACCUAGGCGACGAUACAUAGCCGACCUGAGAGGGUGAUCGGCCACACUGGGACUGAGACACGGCCCAGACUCCUACGGGAGGCAGCAGUAGGGAAUCUUCGGCAAUGGGGGCAACCCUGACCGAGCAACGCCGCGUGAGUGAAGAAGGUUUUCGGAUCGUAAAGCUCUGUUGUAAGUCAAGAACGGGUGUGAGAGUGGAAAGUUCACACUGUGACGGUAGCUUACCAGAAAGGGACGGCUAACUACGUG